rnacentral:rRNA from 1 species
GAUCUUCUUCGGAAGAGAGCGGCGGACGGGUGAGUAACGCGUGGGUAACCUGCCUCAUACACAUGGAUAACAUACCGAAAGGUAUGCUAAUACAAGAUGAUAUAAGAGAUUCGCAUGGAUUUCUUAUCAAAGCUCCGGCGGUAUGAGAUGGACCCGCGUCUGAUUAGCUAGUUGGUAAGGUAACGGCUUACCAAGGCGACGAUCAGUAGCCGACCUGAGAGGGUGAUCGGCCACAUUGGAACUGAGACACGGUCCAAACUCCUACGGGAGGCAGCAGUGGGGAAUAUUGCACAAUGGGCGAAAGCCUGAUGCAGCAACGCCGCGUGAGCGAUGAAGGCCUUCGGGUCGUAAAGCCCUGUCCUCAAGGAAGAUAAUGACGGUACUUGAGGAGGAAGCCCCGGCUAACUACGUGCCAGCAGCCGCGGUAAUACGUAGGGGGCUAGCGUUAUCCGGAUUUACUGGGCGUAAAGGGUGCGUAGGUGGU